CUGUCUAUACAAUAUGGGGAAAUCCUUUCUACAAUAAAUGAGCUUUUUGUUUUUCUGAAGAACCGAGAAAUCCCCGUGAAUCAAUGGCGCAAGGUUAGAAAGCUGGAGGACAAUUGACAUGCCAGGCUUUUGUCUGUGCUAGGUUCAAACCCGUGACGUACGCCUAACCCACACAUCACAAGCUACACUCUUACCACUAUACCAAAGGCCUGGACUGAAGCACUGGCUAAGCAAAGCUUGUUUUGCACCUUGCUUCAAGGUUUAAGCGUUUCAAACGACACAGAGCCAGAGUUGUAAAAGAACCGAGAAAUCCCCGUGAAUCAAUGGCGCAAGGUUAGAAAGCUGGAGGACAAUUGACAUGCCAGGCUUUUGUCUGUGCUAGGUUCAAACCCGUGACGUACGCCUAACCCACACAUCACAAGCUACACUCUUACCACUAUACCAAAGGCCUGGACUGAAGCACUGGCUAAGCGAAGCUUGUUUUGCACCUUGCUUCAAGGUUUAAGCGUUUCAAACGACACAGCCAGAGUUGUACCCAUUCUGGCGCCUGACACAAUUUCUGACAUCCUCUUUUCCCGCACUUCACUUGAAUGGCUUGCCUGAAUACAAUGAUCCAUCCUAACUAUAAUCCACCCUUUGGCUCUAUUCUAGAAAAUUGAGACUAUACCAGUCAACUCCUUUGACGAUGUCAAUCCUUCCAUGUCACAUCUCACUUUUCGAUUUAGUUUGUUUCUGCUUUCUUUUCUUCAGUUUUGAUUUGAUCUAUUUCUCUCCAAGUUCUUUGAAGCAAUUCUCUCCAACUUGGUUAAACCAGUUUCUGUGCAGUACUAUCUGGCUUGCGUGAAGCUAUUCCCUUCAAUGCAACACGUCAAUGGGGAAUGCCCUUCUUCAAAAGAAAAUCUUCAAUGCAACAUAUAGUUCAGCAUUGGUGCUCCAUUAGUUGGUUCUAACCCAUUUUCAGAAGUGGAGACUAUCUAAGUGUGUAAACAAGUCUUAAUAUGGUACAAGACCAGGCAUGGUUUCUGAUUUCAAGUUUCAGACCACCUUAAAGAAGAAAUUACCACAUGCUUGGACCAUGAAAUACAUCAGGAUUCAAGCCCGCAAAUGCAUGAGUGUAUUAAAGACAAAAUUGAGUAAAUAAAUAUUCUCAUCUCUAAAAGCUUUAAUCUUUUAGAUAAAGUGGUUAGAGAAUUCAAUGUUCUGUAUUAAUGUAUAAGGCUUUACAAAUUUUAUUGACAUCAUCAAACUUCUUAAGCCUCCUAUAUAUAUGUAGCAAAUAGCAUCCAUCUCUUCUAAGAAGCUCAGCUACUAU
rnacentral:lncRNA from 1 species